rnacentral:lncRNA from 1 species
UCUUCCGAUCCUCACUCAGGCAAUCAAGGAAAGGGUCGUGAGGAUCCCAACUCUGAGAGGAAGCCAACAUUGACUGACUUUCAUGGUUAAGAUUCGACAAAAAAGAAGAAGAACCAACAAGAUAAGAUCGAGCGGUCUCUGCUCCUCUCUAACUCAGAGGAGAAGCGGAACUGUCUAUGGACUGCCUUGCUUGAUCAUCCUAUCAGUCAUGGUAACGAAUUGAGUAUCUCUGGUAGCUGGU